rnacentral:rRNA from 1 species
CCUACGGGAGGCAGCAGUGGGGAAUAUUGCACAAUGGGCGCAAGCCUGAUGCAGCGACGCCGCGUGCGGGAUGGAGGCCUUCGGGUUGUAAACCGCUUUUGUUCAAGGGCAAGGCACGGUUUUUGGCCGUGUUGAGUGGAUUGUUCGAAUAAGCACCGGCUAACUACGUGCCAGCAGCCGCGGUAAU